CUGAGAAAAAAAUUAUAGUAACAUUAAUAAUUCAACCAUGUUUAAUUUUACCAUGCCCAAAAAUAGUUAUGACAAACAUAAUAUCAGUGAUGACUACUAUGUUUUCCUUGCAAUUACUAUGCCUUUAAGAUCAUGCGCAUGGUAAUCAGUACCAUCAAACGUGGUUAUCUUAAUAACGAUGUUCGUGAUUCUCAGAACCAUGUUCAUGUUCCCUACUAAUAUUCUCAUGUUUAGUGUUACUAUCUCCGAAAGUUGUUUUCAUUAUCAGCGAUUUCCGCAGACAUUUUUUCACAAUAAGUUGUUUGCGACGUAGUUUGUUUCAGUACAUUAUUUUGUAAUAGAGACGUAGUUUUUUGGUAAAUUACUGGAACAACAGUAACUCGACCAACGAUGUUUCCACCUACAGGAGGUUACCGGAUUCUAAGCCUUCAGGACUUCCGGCAGAAAAUCCAAAAGCUUCGUCACCACUGCUGUUUUUCCGAAACAGACUUCAUAGAGUCUAGGAGUAGGCCAACAAAAAGCUGGUCCCAAGGAGAAGAAUGAUAUGGAACUAUAAAAACGGGAAAGAGGCAAAAAGCUUCAUAAAACCGCUCGUUUCCGAAGGAACCACAUCCGGAAUCCCUUUUGUAUGCAUGAUAAAGAACCGUAAUGGAUUGAACCGGAUAAAUAAGAUGUUUCGUUCGAGGUUACACCAUCAAUAGUAACAAAUGCACCGCGGAUGGACUUCGGUGUGAUUUUUCCUUCGGUUGGAGUUUCUCGCCGCAGGACAUCAGUCAACCAAUCGCGCCACCUGAAACCCUGAAACCAAACGACAUGAAGCUGACCACUUCUUCCUUUACCGCGCAUCACCCAAUUCAGCAGCUAGAAUUCCCGAACGACAUCGUUAAACCCCAGAUGGAUAUUCCACAGUAUCUUCAGCAUAACCUCCAUUUUCCCCAAGGUUAUUUCAGGCGCUCCCGGAGCAUUUUCAUUUAACCAGGAAGCAAUUUUGUGUAUUUAUCUUAAUGGAAAGCAAUAAACUUAAUUUAUUCA